CCUACGGGUGGCAGCAGUGGGGAAUAUUGGACAAUGGGGGAAACCCUGAUCCAGCGACGCCGCGUGAGUGAAGACGUCUCUCUGUAUGUAAAGCUCUAUCAGCAGGGAAGAAAAUGACGGUACCUGACUAAGACGCCCCGGCUAACUACGUGCCAGCAGCCGCGGUAAUACGUAGGGGGCAAGCGUUAUCCGGAUUUACUGGGUGUAAAGGGAGCGUAGACGGGGCUGCAAGUCUGAUGUGAAAGGCCGGGGCCCAACCCCGGGACUGCAUUGGAAACUGUAGGACUGGAGUGCAGGAGAGGUAAGCGGAAUUCCUAGUGUAGCGGUGAAAUGCGUAGAUAUUAGGAGGAACACCAGUGGCGAAGGCGGCUUACCGGACUGUAACUGACGUUGAGGCUCGAAAGCGUGGGGAGCAAACAGGAUUAGAUACCCUAGUAGUC
rnacentral:rRNA from 1 species